rnacentral:rRNA from 1 species
AUUGAACGCUGGCGGCAGGCCUAACACAUGCAAGUCGAACGGUAACAGGAAGAAGCUUGCUUCUUUGCUGACGAGUGGCGGACGGGUGAGUAAUGUCUGGGAAACUGCCUGAUGGAGGGGGAUAACUACUGGAAACGGUAGCUAAUACCGCAUAACGUCGCAAGACCAAAGAGGGGGACCUUCGGGCCGCUUGCCAUCGGAUGUGCCCAGAUGGUAUUAGCUAGUAGGUGGGGUAACGGCUCACCUAGGCGACGAUCCCUAGCUGGUCUGAGAGGCUGACCAGCCGCCCUGGAACUGAGCCACGCACCAUACUCCUACGGGAGGCCGCAGUGGGGAAUAUUGGACAAUGGGCGGAAGCAUGAUGCAGCCAUGCCGCGUGUAUGAAGAAGGCGUUCGGGUUGUAAAGUACUCCCAGCGGGGAGGAAGCGAGUACAGUUAAUACGUUGCCUCAUUGACGUUACCCGCGAAAGAAGCACCGGCUAACUCCGUG